UCUGGCAACAGCAUGUGUGAAAGCUCCUCCUCACUCGCCUCGUCCAGCUCAGGAGGUCCUGAUGUCCAUUCGGUCACUGGCUCUGAACCCCAUUCAGUGGGAGCCACAGUGGUUUUCUCCAUCUCAGACCUUAGUUGCGAUAGAGCGGAAGCAAGAGUGAUAGGAAAGAAGCAAGCCGGAGAAUGUUGGAAGGGGUUUGCGUUUUAAACCACAAUCAGUCUGUCAUUCAGUCGGUCCAUACAGCUGUUACCACGGCCACUGUCAGCAUCUCCACGCAGCAAUCCGAGACCCUCCACCACUUCCAAUAACGCAGUUUGCCAGGCAAAACAGCUCAAACUGAGAUUUUCAAUGGGAGGCUCUUCAUACGACAGUGGCAACUUUUGAGUUUUUAAGAGCACUCGCCUGCUCUAGUAUGCUCUUAUUCUUUUGCUUUUUUGUUUCAGCCAGGUGUUGGAGCCAAUACAACUGCUGUUUUAACAAGCACAACCUACACAGCCUUUGGAUCACCUUCACCCUGCCCCCAAACGCCGGUUGAGUAAUGGUAUAUGAAUAUGCCAGGAGGGGGGGUUGCGUUUUUUGUGAUCAGGCAUAGCACCCCUCUCUACAAGACAAAUGGAUGAAGCCUUUAAGCCAUCUGAGUUGGCAGAGAACCGGUCUGACCCACCUCGUCAUGGUUAGCGGGGGGAGAUCAAAGGCAUAGUUCGGCUCUGUUUGCAGUUUAACACGGUUACUGGCACAGAAUAAAGGGGACUUAAAGAUGAAAAGGAGGCAGAGAAGUCAAAGAAAAGUCAAGGGUGUAAUUUCAGCUGCCCAUCAUCGUCUCCCGUAGUGACCAGCUCCUGAGGAACUCUGAACUAGUACGGGACUCUUUAAGCAAAUUCGAUUUCUCAACCCAUUUGCCUUCUAUAAACACUGCCAUAUGUUUGAUAUUACAUAUAAACUGUUCCAGUGGGUGCAGAGAAUAAAGAGGAACAGGAACCGGAGAAUUAAAUGGCAGGUGAAAUCAAGCGAGAUCUGAGGCGAGGGAAAAACAGAACAGAGAAUGAGAGUAACAAUACGCCAAACAUCUCCUCUCGUCUUGGCAACAAACAGGAGGAAAGCGAAAGAUCUCAUCUUUAAUUCAGUCUAUUUUGUACAUGCGAAAGUGAGAACAUCCUGUUUGCCCUUUUAAGGGCAGAACAUGGAAAGUUCAACCAGCAGACACGGAGAAACAAACAAUACCCCAUUAUCUCAACAACUAACCUGAACGAUACAACAAAAAGCUAUCCAGAAGCGCUGAAAUCAAACCCAUUUUCAACAAACUCAACAGGAUAAAUCAACAGAGUGGUUUCCAAAAUGAAAAGUAUUAGAAGAAACUAAAAUGUGUUUUUUCUGUGCUGGCAAUUGCUGAAAUUAAAAUUAAGAUUAAGAAACGGAUUUUCCAGACACACUUUCUUGGCAACGUGAUCCAACGAAUUUCGAUCUCCGCAUUUGUCUGUGCCCGUACCACGGACUUUCUUUUCCGUGUCAGUUUCACGUA